rnacentral:rRNA from 1 species
GAUGAACGCUGGCGGCGUGCCUAAUACAUACAAGUCGAGCGAACAGACGAGGAGCUUGCUCCUCUGACGUUAGCGGCGGACGGGUGAGUAACACGUGGAUAACCUACCUAUAAGACUGGGAUAACUUCGGGAAACCGGAGCUAAUACCGGAUAAUAUAAUGAACCGCAUGGUUCAAUAGUGAAAGACGGUUUUGCUGUCACUUAUAGAUGGAUCCGCGCCGCAUUAGCUAGUUGGUAAGGUAACGGCUUACCAAGGCAACGAUGCGUAGCCGACCUGAGAGGGUGAUCGGCCACACUGGAACUGAGACACGGUCCAGACUCCUACGGGAGGCAGCAGUAGGGAAUCUUCCGCAAUGGGCGAAAGCUUGACGGAGCAACGCCGCGUGAGUGAUGAAGGUCUUCGGAUCGUAAAACUCUGUUAUUAGGGAAGAACAAAUGUGUAAGUAACUAUGCACGUCUUGACGGUACCUAAUCAGAAAGCCACGGCUAACUACGU